GACGAACGCUGGCGGCGUGCCUAAUACAUGCAAGUCGAACGCAGUGGGGACGGGUGAGUAAAACGUGGGUAACCUCCCAUCAGAGGGGAUAACACUUGGAAACAGGUGCUAAACCGACACUGAUGGCUGGACCCGCGGUGCAUUCGCUAGAUGGGGAGGUAACGGCUCACCAAGGCCACCAUGCAUAGGCGAACUGGUAGGGUGAUCGGCCAAACUGGGACUGAGACACGGCCCAGACUCCUACGGGAGGCAGCAGUAGGGAAUCUUCGGCAAUGGACGAAAGUCUGACCGAGCAACGCCGCGUGAGUGAAGAAGGUUUUCGGAUCGUAAAGCUCUGUUGUAAGAGAAGCGGUAUCUAACCAGAAAGGGACGGCUAACUACGUGCCAGCCGCCGCGGUAAUUC
rnacentral:rRNA from 1 species